GAUGAACGCUAGCGGCAGGCCUAACACAUGCAAGUCGAGGGGUAGAAUUAGCGUGCUAAUUUGAGACCGGCGCACGGGUGCGUAACGCGUAUGCAAUCUGCCUUGUACUGAGGGAUAGCCCAGAGAAAUUUGGAUUAAUACCUCAUAGUAUUAUGAUGUGGCAUCACAUUAUAAUUAAAGUUCCAACGGUACAAGAAGAGCAUGCGUCCCAUUAGUUAGUUGGUAAGGUAACGGCUUACCAAGACGAUGACGGGUAGGGGUCCUGAGAGGGAGAAACGCCACACUGGGACUGAGACACGGACCAGACUCCUACGGGAGGCAGCAGUGAGGAAUAUUGGUCAAUGGGCGCAAGCCUGGACCAGCCAUGCCGCGUGCAGGAUGACGGUCCUAUGGAUUGUAAACUGCUUUUAUACGGGAAGAAACACUGCUACGUGUAGCAGCUUGACGGUACCGUAAGAAUAAGGAUCGGCUAACUCCGUGCCAGCAGCCGCGGUAACAC
rnacentral:rRNA from 1 species